GUUAUCCCAGUAUCAAUUUUAGUUAAACUACUUGAUUUUGGGUGUGGGUAGUAGUGGGGAUAGAAAUAGAAUUAGUAAUUGAGAUAAAAUGCAUUGCAGGUGUUUGAUAAAAUGCCCAUGCGGAAAAUUGUGGUAGCUACAAUAGAACUAUAAGUCAUGAACUUAAUUUUGAAUGUCUUUAUCUGUGGCCUUUAUAAUAUGCAUCAUUUUAACCAUUUUAGACAGGUUUUUUCAGAUAUAAUCUUCUAACUAUACAUACAGUUUUCUUUGUGUGCAUAAAAAAUCUCUAGCAAAUACAAUAUUCUAAAGGUUUGUACACAAUUUCAUAUCAGUUUUGCUAUAUGUAGGUCAUUAUUUUCCACAAUUCUGUUUGCUAAAUUAAAUUUGAAGUAUUGAUUCAAUUAUGAGU
rnacentral:lncRNA from 1 species